rnacentral:rRNA from 1 species
GAUGAACGCUGGCGGCGUGCCUAAUACAUGCAAGUCGAGCGAACAGACGAGGAGCUUGCUCCUCUGACGUUAGCGGCGGACGGGUGAGUAACACGUGGAUAACCUACCUAUAAGACUGGGAUAACUUCGGGAAACCGGAGCUAAUACCGGAUAAUAUCUUGAACCGCAUGGUUCAAUAGUGAAAGACGGUUUUGCUGUCACUUAUAGAUGGAUCCGCGCCGCAUUAGCUAGUUGGUAAGGUAACGGCUUACCAAGGCAACGAUGCGUAGCCGACCUGAGAGGGUGAUCGGCCACACUGGAACGGAGACACGGUCCAGACGCCUACGGGAGGCAGCAGUAGGGAAUCUUCCGCAAUGGGCGAAAGCCUGACGGAGCAACGCCGCGUGAGUGAUGAAGGUCUUCGGAUCGGAAAACUCUGUUAUUAGGGAAGAACAAAUGUGUAAGUAACUAUGCACGUCUUGACGGUACCUAAUCAGAAAGCCACGACCAACUACGUGC